rnacentral:lncRNA from 1 species
CUACUUUCAAGGUCUCGGACUCUCGUUGUCGGGCGAAAGCUUGUCUGAGGUUCGACAUGAGUUGCGACGGAAAGAAAGUGGAAUCUGAUGAAAUUAUACUGAACGAAGGCACAGGGUGUGAUUCGGAUCAGCUGUGGCUGUCUUACAUACCGGUAAACUUGUUCAAAAAGAUGGUAGUUCGAAAACAAGUGUGUCUGAUUGAGGUUACCUUUGAGACCAGAGCGUUAUUGGUUAAAAGCUGCGGUAUAUUUCCGGCACGACGACACAAAGAUGGACACUUUCUGGUACCUUGGAGCACAGAUGCAGUGGCAACUUCGGACUAGGAAAUCUGCAACUCAAGCAGCCUUGGUUCUGUUUUUGAUCAUCCUCUGUAUCAUCCAUCUAUUUUAUAAGAAUUUAGGGUGAGUUUGGGUCGGGUCAACCACUUAACCCAUUCAUAUACGCUUAUUACAACCCAACCUAAUUAAAAGUGGAUAAGGGUUGUGGAUGGACGGGUUAGGUUGUGACGCACUAAAAAACGAGCGGAUUGGUUUAAGUGGCGGGUGAACCAUCAAAACCACUUAUUACGAUUAUAUUCUUAAUAUUCAUAUGAUAAUGUAUAUAGUUUUUUGUCAGUAUCAAAGAAAAUUCUUGUCGGGAGACCGACAAAGCCAUCA